GUUUCAAUAUUAUUUAAAAAUAUAUUAUACAACGAGUUCUCUACUACAACACGGCUUGUACUUAUAAAUUACAGAACUUAUAAAUAAAAACGUGUAUAAUGUCGCCUGAACGCAGGCUGCACUUUGUUACAUUUUACAGUACAUAUGGUCCUACUUUUCCGCACUAGUGCGUGAAAUAUCACUUUUCGUGCGUAUGUCAAAAGUUUAAAGGGCCAUAUGUACUGUAAAACAUUGUACGAUACAUGUGCGAAUAGGUAAUUCGCAACUCGUGUCGAUUUAAAACACUCCCUUCGGUCGUGUUUUAAUUUAUCGCCACUCGUUUCGAAUUUCCUUUUUUCCGCACUUGUAUCGGAAAUAACUAUU